GGGAGGGAUGGGGUGACACAGUGACAGAUGGAGGGGAUGACUGGUGACAGAGUGAGGGAGAGGAUGACUAGUGACAGAGUUAGGGAGGGAGUGACUAGUGACAGAGGGAGGGAUGGGGUGACUAGUGACAGUCACCAUCUCCCUCCCUCUGUCACUAGUCACUCCCUCCCUAACUCUGUCACUAGUCAUCCCCUCCCUCACUCUGUCACCAGUCACCCCCUCCCUCUGUCACCCCAUCCCUCCCUCUGUAACUGUGUCACCCCAUCCCUCCC